rnacentral:lncRNA from 1 species
AGAGAGAGAGAGAGAGGACACCAAAAAUGGUGCAGGUUUAAGGAGGACAGAGGGAAGAGGAGAGCUGAUAUGAUACAAGGGGCAUGCUUCACGGAAUAUUUUAAAUUUUAGAUUAUGGGAUCCAGGGGCAGUGUUUUGAGCCCAUUUCUGAGACCAUUUCUCCUGCAGCUUAGAUUAUAAUGGGGCAUCAGCUCUGCCUAAGAGGCAACGAGGACAGACCAGACAAUGAUGAAACAGAAACAGAAACAGGUUCCCCAGCUCUGGGGAGAAGGCUCAUUCCCGCCCCCCUCAUCCCCCGCACCCACCGCCGCUGCAAUCUGCAUCUCCGGUAAACAAGUCCCAGGGAAUGUAGUAAAACUCCCGUGGUUUCCAGGAACCUUGUCACACUGCAAAAAAAAAAACCCACAAAAAACAAAAAAACAAACUCUUGGAGGCCCGCAUCAGUGUCUGGGGGUGGGGCGGGGGUUCUCCUUGGAGGACUUUGGAGAGACUUGGAAAUUCUGAGCACAGAUAAUGGAGGCUCCAGGUGCUUGGGUCACAGCCAGGAAAAUCAUCCAAGACGCAGCACGAUGCGGGAAUGGCGCGCAGCCCUGCGGAAGGCGGCCAGGCCCCACAGAUCGGGGACAGGGGUAGCUGUCACCCCUCCCCUGGGGACCCGGAUGCUGGGGAAAGGAGACUCUCCAGGAAACUGAACACAAGUUUUCAGAUCAAUUAGACGCAUAAAUUUCUGAUGACUGCCACGGGAUGUUCCGCAUCUCCAUCCAUACUGCGGAGAUGCCGCUAUGAGGAACAACGAGUAACCUUCAAAGGCGGCUGACCCUACUGAUUAAUUACAGUGAGCCCCCACAGCCUCAUAUCAAUAACAGGGAAACGAAGUCAGUUUCUGCUGACUUUUGCUCUCGACAGGUUGAAUGUUGAGUUCACGUGGACACCACAGAAUCAUGAUAUCCUACAGAUUCAGCUACUUGGGGACAUAUUUUAAGCUAGCACUUUCUCCAAAGCCUCUCAGGAAGGCAGCAACUGCUUGUGAGCUAGCAGAGAAAGGUCUGCACAGCCUCAAUCAUUCAUUUCACAAAUGCUGAGACUCGAGGCUGCUGUGUGUCACGCUAGCUCCAAGGUUGCAAAGAGAGGACAGGCCCUAUAUGGAGGAAAGGAUGGGGCCAUGACCACGGUGCCACAGGCUGUAGGCCCCCAAGGACAGCCCUGUGCUGCAUUUGUGACUGUGUCUCUUGCACCUAACAGGAGGCCCAGCAUUUAGCAGAUGCUCAAUAAAAACAGUGACAAAUGAAUAAUACAAUGUUAUGUCUUUGAUAACAGUGAUCUGGGAGUUCAGGGAGAAAGCAGGUAAUUCUGCUUGGGAAUUAAAGGCUUUGAAGAAGGAAUGACAGGUCCCAGCUGGUCUUUGGAAUGUAGGAGGCAAUGGGCAGAGAAGGAAGGGCAGUCCAGGAGGAGGGCAACAAGCAGGAGGGUGUGAUGUGGCAGGAGGUCAGACCCAAAGG